GGCAAUCUUGAUUGGUAUAAAAAAGCAGUACUACAUGUUAAAAAGUAUCAUCUGUUUAUAUUCAUAAUACUUCUCCUUCUUAAAUGACCACUCACUAAGAAUAUGCCUCAUUAAAACCGGAUUGCUUAAUUAAAACUUUGCAAAGUAAAAUCCUUAUGGAAAAAAGUACAAUUAGCACAUAUUCUUCAAAAAAUGUACCCCCCUCAUGAGUACGUGGGGUCUUAAUUUUUUGAUGAUUUUUGAGGUUUUGAUUCUUUGUUUGAUCAGUGGGUGAAGGGAGAGCUUGAUGAUCUGGGUCUUGAUUAGUGGCUGAUGAUGGUGCACGGUCUGCAGUGGCUGUGCUUGAUGAUGGUGGAUUGAUCGUUGACGGUGGCUUGGGUUGUGUGUGAGAGGAUUUUCAGAGAAGGGAAAAGUGUGAAAGGUGUAGGAUAUAAUAAAAAAUUGUAAAAAAAUGAAUGUUUUAUUGAAUAAAUAUGUAGAAUAGACUAACUGACACGUGCGUUUUGUAAAAAUAGGCUCGCUUGUAUUCCUAUACGAUCCUAACGAUAUCAAAAUCCACCACCUUAAUUUGCCGCUUGCCACCUUCUCUCCGCUUGCCGCCACCACCUGAGCCAUGAACCACCUCCUCAACUCCAACAGACCCACCCCUAAACCAUGGCCCCAUAAGAAACCCUCUUACAGAUCCCCUCUCCUCUCUCUAUCUCUCCUCACUCUUCUCUUCUCUCUCCUCUUCUUUCUCUCCUACUAUUCCCUCACCCCCAAUUCCCACAUCUCACCCCCUACAAAAACCCUAAAUUCCCAAUUCCCCCAAUGCCCCAUUUCCCAAUUACCCCAAAAAUUCCUCUGGUACGCUCCCCACAGUGGGUUCAGCAACCAGGUUUCCGAGUUCAAGAAUGCUAUCUUAAUGGCCGCCAUUCUCAACCGGACCUUGAUUGUUCCUCCGGUUCUCGAUCACCACGCUGUUGCUCUCGGAAGCUGCCCCAAGUUCCGGGUUUCCGAUCCGAAUAAAAUUCGGGUUGACGUUUGGAACCAUGUGGUUGAGCUCCUCAGGAUUGGCAGGUAUGUCUCGAUGGCUGACAUUGUUGAUAUUUCGUCGUUAGUGUCUUCAUCUGUUAUUCAAACGAUAGAUUUCAGGGUUUUUGCAUCCCUAUGGUGUGGGGUGAAAGAUUUCGAUUGUUUCAUUGAAUCAAAUGAGCAGUUGUUUUUGUUUGAUAGCCUUAAGCAAUGUGGAUCUCUACUAUCUGGGCUAAAUGGUAAUGUUGAUAAAUGUGUACAUGCAGUAGGUGAAGAUUGUAGGACUACAGUUUGGACUUACCAAAAUGGUGAAAAGGAUGGGGUAUUAGAUUCAUUCCAACCUGAUGAACAGCUUAAGAGGAAGAAGAAAAUUUCAUAUGUUAGGAGACGAAGAGACAUAUAUCAGACUCUUGGACCCAGUUCUGCAGCUGAAUCAGCCACUCUGCUGGCAUUUGGAAGUCUUUUCACCUCUCCAUAUAGAGGUUCAGAGCUGUACAUCGAUAUUCAUGAAGCUCCAAGAGAUCAACGGAUACAGUCUUUGAUUAAAAAGAUUGAAUUUCUUCCUUUUGUUCCUGAAAUUUUGAGUGCAGGAAAGGAGUUCGCUGAUAAGAACAUAAAUGCCCAUUUUCUUUGUGCACAGCUCAGAUUGUUAGAUGGGCAGUUCAAGAAUCAUUGGAAAGCUACUUUUCUGAGUUUAAAACAGAAAGUAGAAUCUUUGGGACAGAGUCCACUCCCUAUUCAUAUUUUUGUGAUGACUGAUCUUCCCGAGGGUAAUUGGACUGGAAGUUAUUUGGGGGAUUUGGCUAGAGAUUCACAUCAUUUUAAGCUGCAUUUUCUGAGAGAAGAAGAUGAGUUAGUGAUAAAAACAGCCAAAAAGGUUGUGGCUGCUAAGCAUAGCCUGAGGUCUGCAUUUGUUCCAGAGAGAAUGGGUGGUCUAAAAAAACAUUGCCCUUCUGAGAGAUUACCUGAUGUACUUCUAUUCAUAGAGGAAGCUGUUUGCAGCUGUGCUUCACUUGGUUUUGUUGGGACUGCGGGGUCUACUAUUGCAGAGAGUGUAGAGCUUAUGAGGAAAUUUGGCACAUGUGCAAGCCAAAGUCUGACUGCAUUGUGACAGGUGGUAUUAGUUUAUGAGAAGAAAUUUCUCUGGUUAAGGGUUGUAAAAGUAUGUUACAAGCCUUCCACUUGAAUUGUCUUGCAGUAGAAGAUGAUGGGACCAGCAGUCUUCGGAUAUUUUUUAUGCUUUCUCGCGAUUUUUGUGAUCCAGCCAGCAUUUCAUCCAAAUCUUCUGUUUGUUGAAGGCACAAAAAACUGUUAAAAAGAAGGAAUUUCCUCAUGUCAGGAUUCAACUCCACUGAGGUUGCAGUUUAUUGAAGGUCAAUGUAAGUAUCUUAAAUUCUCAAGGAGAAGAAAGAGGAUGCUGCUCAGAUUUGAAAGUUUGUUUGAUAUAACUGACUCAAUUAAUUAAUUAAUUUAGAUGGAGCAUUUAUCAUUGAGGACUGACUUCUCUUAGCACUUAAUUGUGCCUUUUUGUUUUGUAGAAUUAUUUUUUUUUAGUAGUUUUGUAGAAUUAUCUGAAAUUGCACAUUUUUUUUCCCCAAGAAGAACAUGGGGCGAUUCCGAGUGUUCAUUCAUUGUAAAAAAGAGUUGUUUUGUGGGCCGUUUUUACACAAAAACCUAUACCAACUGAGCAACAAUUGGAGCAAUCCAUCUGAACAAGAUUGAAGUAUGACGUCCC